GUGCUUGUUACAGCAGCACAUAUAUACAAAUUUGAACGAGACAGGGAAGAUUAGCAUGGCCCCUGUGCAAAGAUGACGCAAAAUCGUAGCACUGUGAAUGAUCGUU
ensembl:snRNA U6 U6 spliceosomal RNA